rnacentral:rRNA from 1 species
AACGAACGCUGGCGGCAGGCCUAACACAUGCAAGUCGAACGCUCGUAGCAAUACGGGAGUGGCAGACGGGUGAGUAACGCGUGGGAAUCUACCCAAUGGUACGGAAUAACUCAGGGAAACUUGAGCUAAUACCGUAUGUGUCCGAAAGGGGAAAGAUUUAUCGCCCUUGGAUGAGCCCGCGUCGGAUUAGCUAGUUGGUGGGGUAACGGCCCACCAAGGCGACGAUCCGUAGCUGGGCUGAGAGGAUGACCAGCCACACUGGGACUGAGACACGGCCCAGACUCCUACGGGAGGCAGCAGUGGGGAAUAUUGGACAAUGGGCGCAAGCCUGAUCCAGCCAUGCCGCGUGAGUGAUGAAGGCCCUAGGGUUGUAAAGCUCUUUCGGCGGGGACGAUAAUGACGGUACCCGCAGAAGAAGCCCCGGCUAACUUCGUGCCAGCCGCCGCUGUAA